UCUCUUGGUGUAGCUGUGUUUGUUUAUCUUUUAUUUGAUGGGUAAUAUGUAAACAAAAAUCAUUGUUAGUAAUAUUUAUCAGAGUUCGUAAUUUACUCUGCUUUUUUGUUUAGGUAAGUUCACUGAUUUUGGUUGCCGUCUUCGUCUUUUUCGUUGCGAAAGUAAGUUUGUAAAUUGUUAAAUAGCUAGUCGUGUAGUUUGUAUUUUUUUAGCUGGCUUGAUGUAUGUGUCGUUGAGUUUUAGUUGAGGUGAUUGGUUUGGUAUAUUUGAAGUUUAUUUCUAAGAUUAGAUAAAAAAGAGAGGUAAUCAUUAAUGAUUCGUCUUUUUUGGAAUUCUAGUUUUUGGUGUUUUGAUUGUUUGGGUUGUUGUGGUUUCUUUUAAGCCGUAAAAUAAAAGUUUGUGUAAAAUUAAUUUGAUAAGCAAGGCAGAUAAAUAGACAAAAUAGGAAAUAUUUUUGAUUAUUAAUGUUAGCACAAUAUAGAUAAUAAUAUAAAGGGAAUUGUGUGUUGAUUGUUUCUUACGGAUCAAUGAGGAGACAUAUAAGGACUCGAGUU
rnacentral:lncRNA from 1 species